CCUACGGGAGGCUGCAGUAGGGAAUAUUGCUCAAUGGGGGAAACCCUGAAGCAGCAACGCCGCGUGGAGGAUGAAGGUUUUCGGAUUGUAAACUCCUUUUGUUAGAGAAGACAAUGACGGUAUCUAACGUCUAAUCACCGGCUAAAUCCGUGCCAGCAGCCGCGGUAAUACGGAGGGUGCAAGCGUUACUCGGAAGGACUGGGCGUAAAGGGCGCGUAGGCGGGAUAGCAAGUCAGAUGUGAAAUCCUAUGGCUUAACCGUAGAACUGCAUUUGAAACUGUUAGUCUAGAGUUUGGGAGAGGUAGGUGGAAUUCUUGGUGUAGAGGUGAAAUCCGUAGAGAUCAAGAGGAAUACUCAUUGCGAAGGC
rnacentral:rRNA from 1 species